GGUUGUAUAGUGUAGCGGUUAUCACAUCGGAUUCUGAUUCAGUCUUCAUGACUCGACCAUUCCGGUAACCCCGGUUCGAUUCCGGGUACGACCU